AACGAACACUGGCGGCGUGGUUUAGGCAUGCAAGUCGAACGGGAAAGUCCCCUUCGGGGGAUGAGUAUAGUGGCGAACGGGUGAGUAACGCGUGGGAAACCUACCCUUCAAUGGGGGAUAACAGGCCUAACGGCCUGCUAAUACCGCAUACGUCCCCGGGAUCGCAUGGUCCUGGGAAGAAAGGCGGCCUCUCCUUGGAAGCUGCUGUUGAAGGAUGGUCCCG
rnacentral:rRNA from 1 species